AGAGUUUGAUCAUGGCUCAGGAUGAACGCUAGCGACAGGCUUAACACAUGCAAGUCGAGGGGCAGCAUAAUUUGUAGCAAUACAGAUUGAUGGCGACCGGCGCACGGGUGAGUAACGCGUAUGCAACUUACCUAUCAGAGGGGGAUAGCCCGGCGAAAGUCGGAUUAAUACCCCAUAAAACAGGGGUCCCGCAUGGGAAUAUUUGUUAAAGAUUCAUCGCUGAUAGAUAGGCAUGCGUUCCAUUAGGCAGUUGGCGGGGUAACGGCCACCAAACCGACGAUGGAUAGGGGUUCUGAGAGGAAGGUCCCCCANAUUGGACUGAGACACGGACCAAACUCCUACGGAGGCA
rnacentral:rRNA from 1 species